UGGACGAAAGUCUGACCGAGCGACGCCGCGUGUGGGAUGAAGGUCUUCGGAUUGUAAACCACUGUCGAGGGGGAUUAAGGGAAACUUGAAAGAACCCUGGAGGAAGGGGAGGCUAAGCUCGUGCCAGCAGCCGCGGUAAGACGAGCUCCCCAAACGUUAUUCGGCAUUACUGGGCUUAAAGAGUUCGUAGGCGGCGAAGUAGGUGAGGUGUGAAAGCCCUCGGCUCAACCGAGGAACUGCGCUUCAAACCACUUUGCUAGAGGGAGAUAGGGGUAAGCGGAACAGAUGGUGGAACGGUGAAAUGUAUUGAUAUCAUCUGGAACACCGGUGGCGAAAGCGGCUUACUGGGUCUUUUCUGACGCUGAGGAACGAAAGCUAGGGUAGCGAACGGGAUUAGAUACCCCGGUAGUCCUAGCCGUAAACGAUGAGCACUAGUCUGAGGGACUUUCACGGUUUCUCGGACGUAGCGAAAGUGUUAAGUGCUCCGCCUGGGGA
rnacentral:rRNA from 1 species